AGCAGCCGCGGUAAUUCCAGCUCCAAUAGCGUAUAUUAAAGUUGUUGCAGUUAAAAAGCUCGUAGUUGAAUUUCGGGAUCAAUAUGUUGGUCGUGCCUUGGUACGUACUAAUUUAUUGGUUUCUUCCUUCUGACGAACCAUGAUGUCAUUAAUUUGGUGUUAUGGGGAAUCGGGACUGUUACUUUGAAAAAAUUAGAGUGUUUAAAGCAGGCUCACGCUUGAAUACAUUAGCAUGGAAUAAUGAAAUAGGACGUUUGAUUCUAUUUUGUUGGUUUCUAGGAUCGACGUAAUGAUUAAUAGGGAUAGUUGGGGGCAUUAGUAUUCAAUUGUCAGAGGUGAAAUUCUUGGAUUUAUUGAAGACUAACUACUGCGAAAGCAUUUGCCAAGGAUGUUUUCAUUAAUCAAGAACGAAAGUUAGGGGAAUCGAAGACGAUCAGAUACCGUCGUAGUCUUAACCAUAAACCUAUCCCGACUAGGGAUCGGAUGAUGUUAAUUUUUAAUGACUCAUUCGGCGCCUUAC
rnacentral:rRNA from 1 species